UACGGGGGGGGCAAGCGUUGUUCGGAAUUACUGGGCGUAAAGGGCUCGUAGACGGCCAACUAAGUCGGAUGUGAAAUCCCCAGGCUCAACUUGGGAACUGCAUCCGAUACUGGAUGGCUUGAAUUCGGGAGAGGGAUGCAGAAUUCCAGGUGUAGCGGUGAAAUGCGUAGAUAUCUGGAGGAAUACCGGUGGCGAAGGCGGCAUCCUGGACCGACAUUGACGCUGAGGAGCGAAAGCUAGGGGAGCAAACGGG
rnacentral:rRNA from 1 species